GAUGAACGCUGGCGGCGUGCCUAAUACAUGCAAGUCGAGCGAACGGACGAGAAGCUUGCUUCUCUGAUGUUAGCGGCGGACGGGUGAGUAACACGUGGAUAACCUACCUAUAAGACUGGGAUAACUUCGGGAAACCGGAGCUAAUACCGGAUAAUAUUUUGAACCGCAUGGUUCAAAAGUGAAAGACGGUCUUGCUGUCACUUAUAGAUGGAUCCGCGCUGCAUUAGCUAGUUGGUAAGGUAACGGCUUACCAAGGCAACGAUGCAUAGCCGACCUGAGAGGGUGAUCGGCCACACUGGGACUGAGACACGGUCCAGACUCCUACGGGAGGCAGCAGUAGGGAAUCUUCCGCAAUGGGCGAAAGCCUGACGGAGCAACGCCGCGUGAGUGAUGAAGGUCUUCGGAUCGUAAAACUCUGUUAUUAGGGAAGAACAUAUGUGUAAGUAACUGUGCACAUCUUGACGGUACCUAAUCAGAAAGCCGCGGCUAACUACGUG
rnacentral:rRNA from 1 species